GCUCGGGUGGCGAAACUGGCAAACGUGGCCGGCUCAGACCCGGAAUUUUGGGGGUUCGAAUCCCUCCCCGAGCA
rnacentral:tRNA from 1 species